ACUCGAAAAGGGCAAAUCUAGUGAAAGCUAGAGACGCAAAGUUACCGGUCUAAGGGGAAACCUAGGAUAGCGGAACUGCCAAG
rnacentral:ncRNA from 1 species